CAGACGGGCGACGGCAGGGAGGAAUAUGGGGCAAUGGACGAGAGGCUGAACCAGCCAAGGAGCGUGAAGGAUGACUGCCCGAGGGGUUGUAAACUUCUUUUAUAAAGGAAUAAAACGAGGCACGUGUGCCUUUUUGCAUGUACUUUAUGAAUAAGGAUCGGCUAACUCCGUGCCAGCAGCCGCGGUAAUACGGAGGAUCCGAGCGUUAUCCGGAUUUAUUGGGUUUAAAGGGAGCGUAGAUGGGUUGUUAAGUCAGUUGUGAAAGUUUGCGGCUCAACCGUAAAAUUGCAAUUGAUACUGGCAGUCUUGAGUACAGUUGAGGUAGGCGGAAUUCGUGGUGUAGCGGUGAAAUGCUUAGAUAUCACGAAGAACCCCGAUUGCGAAGGCAGCUUACUAAACUGUGACUGACAUUGAUGCUCGAAAGUGUGGGUAUCAAACAGGAUUAGAUACCCGGGUAGUC
rnacentral:rRNA from 1 species